CAGCAGCCGCGGUAAUACGUAGGGUGCAAGCGUUAAUCGGAAUUACUGGGCGUAAAGCGCACGCAGGCGGUCUGUCAAGUCAGAUGUGAAAUCCCCGGGCUUAACCUGGGAACUGCAUUUGAAACUGGCAGGCUGGAGUCUUGUAGAGGGGGGUAGAAUUCCAGGUGUAGCGGUGAAAUGCGUAGAGAUCUGGAGGAAUACCGGUGGCGAAGGCGGCCCCCUGGACAAAGACUGACGCUCAGGUGCGAAAGCGUGGGGAGCAAACAGGAUUAGAUACCCGCGUAGUCCCUGUCUCUUAUAC
rnacentral:rRNA from 1 species